rnacentral:rRNA from 1 species
UACGGAGGGGACUAGCGUUGUUCGGAAUUACUGGGCGUAAAGGGCGCGUAGGCGGCCUGUUAAGUCGGACGUGAAAUCCCUCGGCUCAACCGGGGAACUGCGUCCGAUACUGGCGGGCUUGAGUACGGAAGAGGCGAGUGGAAUUCCUGGUGUAGCGGUGAAAUGCGCAGAUAUCAGGAGGAACACCAAUUGCGAAGGCAGCUCGCUGGGACGUUACUGACGCUGAGACGCGAAAGCGUGGGGAGCAAACAGG